rnacentral:lncRNA from 1 species
UAAAAAUGGGCCCUCAAUAUAUUGAAAAAUAAAAUUUUCCAUUACUUAUAAAAAAUGACUUCAUCUAGCAUUUUUAGUUGCAUGUUAUCUAAAAUCUCUUAAUCUCUUUUUCUAUACAUAACUAGUAUUACUCCCGUGCGAUGCACGGUAAAAAAAAUUAUAUUUUUUAGAAUAUUAUAUUUAGAAAAUAAAAUUCUAUAAGUUACUUAUAUUAUUAUAUAAAAUAGCUCUAAUAAAG